GUUUGUUGUACCUGAAGUCGUUGGCGCCAACCGCAAGGAGGCAGACACCCACGGUAUGACUGAUGAUUGGGGUGAAGUCGUAACAAGGUAGUCGUAGGUGAACCGCAGAAGGAUCA
rnacentral:rRNA from 1 species